UCCUUACGUUAUGAGGAAUAUUGUCCGAC
rnacentral:sRNA from 1 species